GCGUGCAGCUGGCUCGGCCUGGCCUGGCCUUUCAGGCGGGAGGCGUGGCUCCGGCUAAGUCAGGCCUCAGGGAUCCCUGGCGGGAUGGCUGGUUCCUGCCCAGCCUUGGAGUCUGGCGAGGAAGUGUUCACAGGAAGGCCUGGAGAGGCGAGGGAACAGCCUACAUGAAAGCAAGAGACUGGAGAGCAUAGGGGAUUCUUCUUUCAUGGAUACGUACUGACAACCCCCCUCCUAAGCCCAGCUCUCGUCGAGUCAGGCAGUCGUGCGUACGGCGGUGGCGGCAGGCAAAGAUCCUACAGCAACGUGCAGUAGGAUAGAUGAACAAACGAGUAUUGUUUGGUGUCAGCCUUAAGUACCAUGAAGAACUACUUUGUGGCCUGUUUGAUUGGUAGCAGAGGUUUACCGGUGCAAGUCGGUGGUGAAAAUGCAUAUUAAGUCAAUCAUUCUUGAGGGAUUCAAGUCCUAUGCUCAGAGAACUGAGGUCAAUGGUUUUGAUCCCCUCUUCAAUGCUAUUACUGGUUUAAAUGGUAGUGGAAAAUCCAAUAUAUUGGACUCCAUCUGCUUUUUGCUGGGCAUCUCCAACCUGUCUCAGGUUCGGGCUUCUAAUUUACAAGAUUUAGUUUACAAAAAUGGACAGGCUGGUAUUACCAAAGCUUCAGUGUCAAUCACCUUUGAUAAUUCUGACAAAAAGCAAAGUCCUUUAGGAUUUGAGGUUCAUGAUGAAAUUACAGUAACAAG